CCUACGGGAGGCAGCAGUGAGGAAUAUUGGUCAAUGGGCGCAAGCCUGAACCAGCGACGCCGCGUGGGUGAAGAAGGCCUUCGGGUCGUAAAGCCCUUUUCUGUGUGAAGAGAGAGGACGGUAGCACAGGAAUAAGCGUCGGCUAACUACGUGCC
rnacentral:rRNA from 1 species